rnacentral:tRNA from 1 species
UCCCCGGUAGCUCAACCGGCAGUAGCGGCGGGCUGUUAACCCGUAGGUUGCAGGUUCGAGUCCUGCCCGGGGAG